AUAUGAUUAUUAUCUGUCUGCUACCAACAGGGUACUGACAGAUGUCUUUAUUCCUCUUAAAGAUAGGAGAUUAUCUGUGGACUUUUCAGCUGCAAUUGACUGGUCCUUGAUUUUUGCUGCAAACGACUAUCCUUUGACUUUCUAUCACCAGCUGAUGUUUGCUUGCACUCAGACUGUUCAUCUAGUUAAAUACUCCAUAUGAAUUGAGGCUCUUCAGUGCCCAUGUUAUUGUCUUACUUAAUUCCCCUGUAUUCACCUUGAUUUUAUUACGCUUCAAGUCCUGUCAGUUGAACUUGGACUUCAAUAUCCACCCUGAGGGGGUUUUUCCUUGACUGGCUGUGCAUGAAGCUAGGAGUAAUCUAGAGAGACGAUCUUGUCCUAAUUCCCCUGAAGAAGCCAAGAGGCGAAACUAGUAGGGUCGACCUGAUCGAAAAAAUUAUUUCUAGAUCUUGCUC